CGGCUGCGAACGGGAGCGGAGGCAG
rnacentral:piRNA from 1 species